rnacentral:tRNA from 1 species
GACCAGAUCGUCUAGUGGUUAGGACAUUGCGUUGUUGCCGCAAUAACCUGCUUCGAAUCCUAGUCUGGACA